AUUGAACGCUGGCGGCAGGCUUAACACAUGCAAGUCGAGCGGGGUGAUGGUGCUUGCACUAUCACUUAGCGGCGGACGGGUGAGUAAUGCUUAGGAAUCUGCCUAUUAGUGGGGGACAACAUCUCGAAAGGGAUGCUAAUACCGCAUACGUCCUACGGGAGAAAGCAGGGGAUCACUUGUGACCUUGCGCUAAUAGAUGAGCCUAAGUCGGAUUAGCUAGUUGGUGGGGUAAAGGCCUACCAAGGCGACGAUCUGUAGCGGGUCUGAGAGGAUGAUCCGCCACACUGGAACGUGGACACGGCCCAGACUCCUACGGGAGGCAGCAGUGGGGAAUAGUGGACAAUUGGGGGAACCCUGAUCCAGCCAUGCCGCGUGUGUGAAGAAGGCCUUAUGGUUGUAAAGCACUUUAAGCGAGGAGGAGGCUCUUUUGGUUAAUACCCAAGAUGAGUGGACGUUACUCGCAGAAUAAGCACCGGCUAACUCUGUGCCAGCAGCCGCCGUAA
rnacentral:rRNA from 1 species